rnacentral:rRNA from 1 species
UAACACGUAUGCAACCUACCCUUAACUGGGGAAUAACCCUGUGAAAGCGGGGCUAAUACCCCAUAACAUUAUGGUAAGGCAUCUUACUAUUAUCAAAGAUUUAUCGGUUAGGGAUGGGCAUGCGCCCCAUUAGUUAGUUGGUUAGGUAACGGCUAACCAAGACUGUGAUGGGUAGGGGUUCUGAGAGGAUUAUCCCCCACACUGGUACUGAGACACGGACCAGACUCCUACGGGAGGCAGCAGUAAGGAAUAUUGGGCAAUGGACGCAAGUCUGACCCAGCCAUGCCGCGUGCAGGAUGACGGCCUUAUGGGUUGUAAACUGCUUUUGUAUGGGAUUAAAGUGUUGUACGUGUACGACAUUGCAAGUACCAUACGAAUAAGCAUCGGCUAACUCCGUGCCAGCAGCCGCGGUAAUACGGAGGAUGCAAGCGUUAUCCGGAAUCGUUGGGUUUAAAGGGUGCGUAGGUUGAUUAUUAAGUCAGUGGUGAAAAUUCCGGGCUCAACCCGGGACUUGCCGUUGAAACUGAUAAUCUUGAGUGUAACUGAUGUGGGCGGAAUGUGUCAAGUAGCGGUGAAAUGCAUAGAUAUGACACAGAACACCGAUAGCGAAGGCAGCUCACAAAAUUACAACUGACACUGAGGCACGAAAGCGUGGGUAUCAAACAGGAUUAGAUACCCUGGUAGUCCACGCUGUAAACGAUGAUCACUAGCUGUUUGCGAUACAUUGUAAGUGGUUAAGCGAAAGCGAUAAGUGAUCCACCUGGGGAGUACGUCGGCAACGAUGAAACUCAAAGGAAUUGACGGGGGCCCGCACAAGCGGAGGAGCAUGUGGUUUAAUUCGAUGAUACGCGAGGAACCUUACCUGGGCUUGAACGUAUGGUGCAUGAGUGUGAAAGCACUCUUUCCUUCACAGGACUACAUACGGGGUGCUGCAUGGUUGUCGUCAGCUCGUGCCGUGAGGUGUUAGGUUAAGUCCUGCAUCGAGCGCAACCCCUGUUGUUAGUUGCCAGCAGGUUAUGCUGGGCGCUCUAGAAAGACUGCCUGCGCAAGCAGAGAUGAAGGUGGGGAUGACGUCCAAUCAGCACG